rnacentral:rRNA from 1 species
UACGGAGGGGGCUAGCGUUGUUCGGAAUUACUGGGCGUAAAGCGCGUGUAGGCGGCCUUGCAAGUCGGGUGUGAAAGCCCUCAGCUCAACUGAGGAAGCGCGCCCGAAACUGCAGAGCUUGAGUACCGGAGAGGAUGGCGGAAUUCCCCAAGUAGAGGUGAAAUUCGUAGAUAUGGGGAGGAACACCGGUGGCGAAGGCGGCCAUCUGGACGGAUACUGACGCUGAGACGCGAAAGCGUGGGGAGCAAACAGG